rnacentral:rRNA from 1 species
UACGGAGGGGGCUAGCGUUGUUCGGAAUUACUGGGCGUAAAGGGCGCGUAGGCGGGAUGGCAAGUCGGUCGUGAAAUCCCUCGGCUCAACCGAGGAACGUCGAUCGAUACUGCUGUUCUUGAGGAUUGCAGAGGAGACUGGAAUUCCUGGUGUAGCGGUGAAAUGCGCAGAUAUCAGGAGGAACACCGGUGGCGAAGGCGGGUCUCUGGGCCGUAACUGACGCUGGAGGAGCGAAAGCAUGGGGAGCGAACAGG